rnacentral:rRNA from 1 species
UACAGAGCGUGCAAGCGUUAAUCGGAAUUACUGGGCGUAAAGCGCACGUAGGUGGAUUUUUAAGUCAGAUGUGAAAGCCCCGGGCUUAACCUGGGAAUGGCAUUUGAGACUGGAUAUCUUGAAUAUAGUAGAGGGAGGUGGAAUUUCUGGUGUAGCGGUGAAAUGCGUAGAUAUCAGAAGGAACAUCAGUGGCGAAGGCGGCCUCCUGGACUAAUAUUGACACUUAGGUGCGAAAGCGUGGGGAGCAAAC